GGCAAGUAUUACCACACACCUAAUCCUGGGAACAACUCUGGAAGCAACUCUGGAAACUACAGUUAGAAGUGUCAUCUCAUGCCAGUGUGGUAACCCCAACAAAUAGCUUUCUCUUUGAUUUAUUUAGUCCAUAUACAUUUGAUUGCCCAUAAUGAGUAAAGAACUGCCCUAGCAAUAGUGGCUGGACAAAGGAAAAUCCUCAAAAGUUAACUAACUCUCCAAAGGAAAAGAAGUGUGCAGAAUUGCUAAUAUUGAAGCAUCAGACAUGUGGAGGGGACAGCAGUCAGAAUCUGAUCUUUGUGGGCAACCCCUCUCAAGAGGACAGUUCAUCGCAGCUUCCUCAUCAAUCUUUUAGGGACAGAGUGAGUGAGAGUCCUACCACCUGAAGCUUGGCCACCCUACAUCUCAUUUCCUUCAAGCAUCUUAAUGACCAACAGUUUUCUUGUGACCUUGGAGAAGGGGUGAGUGUUGUUAAGACACAGACAGUGGUUGUGGUACUCUGGCUAGAGAGAGGAA
rnacentral:lncRNA from 9 species